UUCACUUCCACAGUAUCUCUUAGCACUCACACGCAAUUUACUAUUUCUAUUUAAUUAAUCAGAACAUAAAUCAUGUUUAUCUUUUGCUUGCUUGUUUCCAGGGAUGGUUGUUGUCUCUGCAGAAUUCCAAAUAAAAGGAGCCGUAGACUGACCGUGUCCAGGUGGAUCUUCAGGUUUUCCAGGCGGGAAAACGCUUUGGUGCAUCCCUCGAACUGACGAGAGGCAUCACAUGUCAUUUUGGUGCUUUAAAGUUUUUUCCACUGCUGUUGCAAGUACACCAAACACACCAUAAAAAGCCUCUUGCAGCUAAACCAGGGGUGUCAAACGUACGGCCGGUGGUCCGGAACAGGCCCGCGAACAGGUUUUAUCCGGUCCGCAGGAUGAGUUUGGUUACCAGGUGACCACAGUUCAGCCACCACAGGUGAAUCGCUAGCUGUUCAAAGUCGGGACCCAGGAUGGACCACUCCUCUUUGCAUCAGUUGGUGACGUCUCUGCACUGCUGACUUGCCUUCAUUCAAGAGGAUUCCAUGCUGGCCUAACAAUGGACUGAACUCGGGACUUGGGGUGGACCACUCCUGAUGCAUCAGUCUAUGCGCCCUGGCGUGUCUACAUGCAAGAGGAUCCCCUGCAGGUCCCACUAUGGACUGGGCUUUCACAUUAUUAAACGUAUCCACUCACCAUCCAUUGCACCGUUCACCU